AUGUCUUUCAGAAGAAAUAUAGAUGGAGGCUAUGGGGGGCUGUGGGAUAGCCUUAAAAGAAGAUGUGAGGACAUAUUAAUGCACGGGGGCAGAGACAAGCCCAUGUGGAUGCUCAAUGCUAACAGAAUAUUCACUGUAAAAUCCUUAUAUCGACACCUAGUUCGUACUGACAUGGGUUUUCCACACAAAUUCCUGUGGAAAGUCAAGGUACCUGCAAAAAUCAAGUUCUUUCUUUGGUUGCUAAGCAAAAAAAGUAUCCUUACUAGAGACACCCUAUUGAAAAGAGGAUGGAAAGGGGACAAACAUUGUGUGUUUUGUGGACAGGAGGAAAACAUUGAUCAUCUUUUCUUCUCCUAUUCGGUUGCUAGAAUCAUUUGGAAUCUGGUGAGAUGUUCAUUUGACUUUUAG
rnacentral:rRNA from 1 species